rnacentral:rRNA from 1 species
CUCUAGAGAUAGAGCCUUCCCCUUCGGGGGACAAAGUGACAGGUGGUGCAUGGUUGUCGUCAGCUCGUGUCGUGAGAUGUUGGGUUAAGUCCCGCAACGAGCGCAACCCUUAAACUUAGUUGCCAUCAUUAAGUUGGGCACUCUAGGUUGACUGCCGGUGACAAACCGGAGGAAGGUGGGGAUGACGUCAAAUCAUCAUGCCCCUUAUGAUUUGGGCUACACACGUGCUACAAUGGACAAU